rnacentral:rRNA from 1 species
UACGGAGGGUGCAAGCGUUGCUCGGAAUUAUUGGGCGUAAAGCGCACGUAGGCGGACCAUCAAGUCGGAUGUGAAAUCCCUCGGCUUAACCGAGGACGUGCAUUCGAAACUGAUGGCCUUGAGUACGAAAGAGGAUCGCGGAAUUCCCGGUGUAGAGGUGAAAUUCGUAGAUAUCGGGAGGAACACCAGUGGCGAAGGCGGCGAUCUGGGUCGAUACUGACGCUGAGGUGCGAAAGCGUGGGGAGCAAACAGG